GACGAACGCUGGCGGCGUGCCUAACACAUGCAAGUCGAACGGAACGCUUAUCAUUGAGACUUCGGUUGAUUUGAUAAGUUGUUUAGUGGCGGACGGGUGAGUAACGCGUGAGUAACCUGCCUUUAAGAGGGGGAUAACAUACCGAAAGGUAUGCUAAUACCGCAUGACAUAUUGGGAUCGCAUGUUUUCGAUAUCAAAGAUUUUAUCGCUUAAAGAUGGACUCGCGUCCGAUUAGAUAGUUGGUGAGGUAACGGCUCACCAAGUCGACGAUCGGUAGCCGGACUGAGAGGUUGAACGGCCACAUUGGGACUGAGACACGGCCCAGACUCCUACGGGAGGCAGCAGUGGGGAAUAUUGCGCAAUGGGGGCAACCCUGACGCAGCAACGCCGCGUGAAGGAGAAGGUCUUCGGAUUGUAAACUUUUGUCUUAUGGGACGAAUUUUGACGGUACCUGCAGAAAAGCAACGGCUAACUACGUG
rnacentral:rRNA from 1 species